UAGAGUUUGAUCCUGGCUCACAUUGAACGCUGGCGGCAUGCCUAACACAUGCAAGUCGAACGGCAGCACAGUCGUAGCAAUACGAUGGGCGGCGAGUGGCGGACGGGUGAGGNNNACAUCGGGACCUGCCCAGACGUGGGGGAUAACGUAGGGAAACUUACGCUAAUACCGCAUACGUCCUACGGGAGAAAGCGGGGGAUCUGAAAGGACCUCGCGCGGUUGGAUGGACCGAUGUUCGAUUAGCUAGUUGGUGAGGUAAUGGCUCACCAAGGCGACGAUCGAUAGCUGGUCUGAGAGGAUGAUCAGCCACACUGGGACUGAGACACGGCCCAGACUCCUACGGGAGGCAGCAGUGGGGAAUAUUGGACAAUGGGCGAAAGCCUGAUCCAGCAAUGCCGCGUGUGUGAAGAAGGCCUUCGGGUUGUAAAGCACUUUUAUCAGGAGCGAAAUGCUAUCGGCUAAUACCCGGUAGAGCUGACGGUACCUGAGGAAUAAGCACCGGCUAACCUCGUGCCAGCAGCCGCGGUAAUACGAAGGGUGCAAGCGUUAAUCGGAAUUACUGGGCGUAAAGCGUGCGUAGGCGGUUUUUUAAGUCUGCUGUGAAAUCCCCGGGCUCAACCUGGGAAUGGCAGUGGAUACUGGAAAGCUAGAGUGUGAUAGAGGAUGGUGGAAUUCCCGGUGUAGCGGUGAAAUGCGUAGAGAUCGGGAGGAACAUCAGUGGCGAAGGCGGCCAUCUGGAUCAA
rnacentral:rRNA from 1 species